rnacentral:rRNA from 1 species
AUUGAACGCUGGCGGCAUGCCUUACACAUGCAAGUCGAACGGUAACAGAUCUUCGGAUGCUGACGAGUGGCGAACGGGUGAGUAAUACAUCGGAACGUGCCUAGUAGUGGGGGAUAACUACUCGAAAGAGUGGCUAAUACCGCAUGAGAUCUACGGAUGAAAGCAGGGGAUCGCAAGACCUUGUGCUACUAGAGCGGCCGAUGGCAGAUUAGGUAGUUGGUGGGAUAAAAGCUUACCAAGCCGACGAUCUGUAGCUGGUCUGAGAGGACGAUCAGCCACACUGGGACUGAGACACGGCCCAGACUCCUACGGGAGGCAGCAGUGGGGAAUUUUGGACAACGGGCGCAAGCCUGAUCCAGCAAUGCCGCGUGCAGGAUGAAGGCCUUCGGGUUGUAAACUGCUUUUGUACGGAACGAAAAGCCCUGGGUUAAUACCCUGGGGUCAUGACGGUACCGUAAGAAUAAGCACCGGCUAACUACGUGCCAGCAGCCGCCGUAAGAC